GUCAUUCAUGGUGUGUACACCGUUAUAAAAGUAGGCUUUCCCCUCAGUCCAACAUAUGUCUCAUCUGGGACCAAGUUAGUGACACGGACGUGAACUCUCUCUACCUGGGAACCUCAACUCUAAGAUACAGCCAUGUCUCGUCUGCAAGAAAUCAUUAAAAACAUGGUGGAGUUGUACGUGGAGUACUCUGAUGCUGAUGGCAAUUUGAGCAAGGAGGAGCUGAUGACAAUGGUGGAUAAAGAAAUUGAAUGCGCUGAGAUGAAACUAAAAGAUUUGAGAAGCAGGCAGGUUGCAUGGCACGUGAUGGAGAGAUCCAUUUCAGAGAGUUUUCUCGUUGUGUGAUUUCUCUUGCCAACAACUGCUACCACAAGAAGACAGGCAAGGGCAAAGACUGCGGGGACUGCUCCGAUGAAUGAAUGUAAAACCUUUGAAGAGUUAUCAUUAUAACGUGUGUAUAUGUAACACUAACUGCACUGAAAAUGAAACUUUCACUGUCUCACUGUCAAUUGGUUUUCGUAGGCUGUUCAA